rnacentral:lncRNA from 1 species
UCCCCCUCGGGGUGGAAACAAAGGGGGUUCGGCGCGCGGUGCGGAGCCUGGGGGAAAAGGGAGGAGCGCUCCGGUGGUCUGGCGCGCUGGGCUCGCUAGAGUGAAGAUAGUCCAAGUCCUAAGAGACAGCGCCUCUCUCAUUCAGUCUUUGAUUAUACAUCAGCAUCACCAGCUCCCUCACCACCAAUGCGACCAUGGGAGAUGACAUCAAAUAGGCAGCCCCCUUCAGUUCGACCAAGCCAACAUCACUUCUCAGGGGAACGAUGCAACACACCUGCACGCAACAGAAGAAGUCCUCCUGUCAGGCGCCAGAGAGGAAGAAGGGAUCGUCUGUCUCGACAUAAUUCCAUUAGUCAAGAUGAAAACUAUCACCAUCUCCCUUACGCACAGCAGCAAGCAAUAGAGGAGCCUCGAGCCUUCCACCCUCCGAAUGUAUCUCCCCGUCUGCUACAUCCUGCUGCUCAUCCACCCCAGCAGAAUGCAGUCAUGGUUGACAUACAUGA